rnacentral:rRNA from 1 species
CCUACGGGGGGCUGCAGUGGGGAAUAUUGGACAAUGGGGGCAACCCUGAUCCAGCCAUGCCGCGUGUGUGAAGAAGGCCCUCGGGUUGUAAGGCACUUUCAGUGAGGAAGAACGCCUGGUGGUUAAUACCCAUCAGGAAAGACAUCACUCACAGAAGAAGCACCGGCUAACUCCGUGCCAGCAGCCGCGGUAAUACGGAGGGUGCGAGCGUUAAUCGGAAUUACUGGGCGUAAAGCGCGCGUAGGUGGCUUGAUAAGCCGGUUGUGAAAGCCCCGGGCUCAACCUGGGAACGGCAUCCGGAACUGUCAAGCUAGAGUGCAGGAGAGGAAGGUAGAAUUCCCGGUGUAGCGGUGAAAUGCGUAGAGAUCGGGAGGAAUACCAGUGGCGAAGGCGGCCUUCUGGACUGACACUGACACUGAGGUGCGAAAGCGUGGGUAGCAAACAGGAUUAGAUACCCCUGUAGUC